rnacentral:rRNA from 1 species
AUUGAACGCUGGCGGCAGGCCUAACACAUGCAAGUCGAGCGAGCGGCGGACGUGUGAGUAAUGUAUGGGAGUCUGCCCGAUAGAGGGGGAUAACUACUUGAAACGGUAGCUAAUACCGCAUACUAUCUGAGGAACCCAUAUGGGAUUAGCUAGUAUGUGGGGUAAAGGCUCACCUCGGAGACGAUCUCUAGCUGGUCUGAGAGGAUGAUCAGCCACACUGGGCCUGAGAAACUGCCCAUACUCCUGCUGGAGGCAGCAGUGGGGAAUAUUGCACAAUGGGCGCAAGCCUGAUGCAGCCAUGCCGCGUGUAUGAAGAAGGCCUUAGGGUUGGAAAGUACUUUCAGCGGGGAGGCGUUACCCGCAGAAGAAGCACCGGCUAACUCCGUGCCAGCAGCCGCGGUAAUAC